GUGGUUUCUUAUUCCUUUUU
rnacentral:miRNA from 1 species